rnacentral:rRNA from 1 species
UGAGUAACGCGUGAGGAACCUGCCUUCCAGAGGGGGACAACAGUUGGAAACGACUGCUAAUACCGCAUGACACAUUUGAAUCGCAUGGUUUGAAUGUCAAAGAUUUAUCGCUGGAAGAUGGCCUCGCGUCUGAUUAGCUAGUUGGUAGGGUAACGGCCUACCAAGGCGACGAUCAGUAGCCGGACUGAGAGGUUGACCGGCCACAUUGGGACUGAGAUACGGCCCAGACUCCUACGGGAGGCAGCAG